UAAGAUAACACUUUUGUGCAAAAAUUUUAGUUUUAUCCGCCAAACAUUUAGAAAAAAAAACUCAUUCGAUCUAUCUCUUCUCUAACGAUGAUAUUUUUUUUCUCAAUUUGAGAUUGAAGAAUAUUAGUGGAGAAGGAGGAGGAGGAGACGAAGCCACGAAGGAGCUUCUGUCGGAGUUGCAGCGCUCGUCACCUCCACCACCAUCGCUUCUCAGAUCCGUCUUCGCCGGUCCCUGACUUCACCGGAGUCGCGACCACCACCGUCAUGCUCAUCAGCACCACAGAAAAAAACCUCAGAUCCGUCUUCGUCCUCUAUCGUUCUCUCUUUCACCUUCUUCUCAACUUCAAAUCGAGGAUCGACCACUCUUUAAGCUGAAGAAACUUUUUCUUGGCCAUAACCGUUUGUAAGUUCGAUUUCAAACCUGCAAAGCUCGAAUCAAUAGGGCUUUGUAGAAGUGUCAAGGAUAGGAUCGGUAUUAACGGGGCAGAAGAUAUAGGCACAACAAGGGGUUUAACAGAGCCUUUGCUCUUUGAUUUCAAUGAAGAGUGAGCUAAGAAUAAUUAUUUGAAAUCUUGAUGUGGAAUUGUGUUGAAUAGGUGGUAGUUUUCAUGUAAAGUUUCCAUCUUUCUGUGUUGAUUAUAAGCUAAUUGGAGAAGAAACUGAGUUAGUUCUAAGUUCUUGACAUGUUAUUUCGUGGAUUGUCUCCUUAUUCUAGGCCUCCAUACUUGGGAGUCUGCCUCUGUGGUCGAUCUCAAGAGCAUGGAGUUCUUUGACGGGCGUGAAUUCAAGACUGAGAGAUGGAAGCUAUAAGCGAACUCAAGAAGAAAGUUCACGAGUUUUCAACAAGUUUAUGAUGGGGUAUGCUCUAUGUCUGCCCAUAUCUCACCUUGCUUCCGUGUCAAAAAAGGCGAUCAUGUCAUCAUUGGCCAAUGCAGGUUACUUGAGUUUCAGAGAAAAGUACAGACUUUGCUAAAGACAUAAUUUCCGUUUGUGGUUGUUGUAUUGUUAUGGUGAAGGCCUUUGAUGACGUGCAGAUGAUAUUUAUCAGGAUGAUGUCGUGGAUGAGGUGAUCAAGGAAGAAUCAGCUCCAUAACCGGCUGAGGAACAGCACUGAGCUGCUAGUUUCUAGUGUUUGCAACUUUUAGCCUCUUUCUUUCACUCGCUUAUUCAUUCAAAGUAACACAUGAAGUUAGUUUUUUUAAGACUUGGCAAGAGUUAUGUUGUUAGUAUAAGAUUUGUAUGAUGUCAGUGUAAUACUUGGAAAGAUUUUGCGUAAGAUGUAUGCAUUAUGAAUUUAAUGCAAUAUAUAUUUUAGUUAUAAA